rnacentral:lncRNA from 13 species
UAAAAAUCCUGUUCUCGAUGAAGCCAAAAUGGCGGCGGAAAGUGUAAAUAGUACAGUUCUAUAUCGUUCAACUAUAGUUAAAGUACAAUUGUAUCUUCUUGCGGAAAGUGUCGCAUAAUCUGUGUGAUAAAGCAAAAAUACAUAUUAAAAUGCUAGGUUGUUGCGUGGAUCUGUGCAAAAACUGCACAAAGAAAGCUCGCUUAUUUCGCUUGCCAACGGGUAAAAGAAAUAGCGAAAGACGAUUAGAAUGGUUACGAUUAAUUGGAAAAAAUACAUUAGCUGAAAGAGCUCUAAUUUGUGAGGCACAUUUUGGCGAGGACCAGUUUGAGAAUAAAAGAGAAGAAGAAAACUGCUCCGUCCAUUCACAAAACCAAAUUUAUUAGAGAAACACACAAUAGAGGCGAAAAACUAAUUAACAGAAAAGGCAUCUAGAUCUGUGGAGAUAGAAAUUCAUGACAAGCAGAACCCAAUAAAUAUAAAUUGCACUAGCUUGUGUAACGAUAUUAACAGUCAUAAUAACAAUGAAGACAGUAAUAACAGUAAUAACAUGACAAAUAAUAUUGGAACAAAUGUUGUGGAUGAAUCACAGAACACUCCAUUAAUAAAGAAAAAAGAUAAAGAUAUUAGGAAAUUGAAAAAAGCUUU